UUUAGUAUCAAAAGAAUUCGUGCCAGCAGCCGCGGUUAUACGAUUGAUACAAGUGAAUAUUAUUGGUUAAAACAGUUGUUUAUAUAUUAGGGUUGAAAUAUAAAUUUGUAAGGUGAAAUGUUAAAAUUUAUUUGUGGCCCUUUUUAUGAAUCUGUGAAAUUUUAAUAAUAAACUAGGAUUAGAUACCCUAUUAUUUUAAAUGUUAAUUAUAUUUACCAGGGUACUAUUAGUUAAGGUCUUUAAACCCAAAGAAUUUGGCGGUAUCUCAUUCCAUUCAGAGGAACCUACCCCAUGAUUGAUAAUACACGAUUUACUCUACUUAAUUUAUUUGUUUGUAUAUCUCCGUUAUCAGAGAAUCUUUUUAGAGUUAUAAUUCUCAAGAUUUAUAAUUAUAAAAUAUUUCAGGUCAAGGUGCAGCUUAUAGUUAAGAGCAGGUGGGUUACAAUAGAUUUUAGUUUAUAACGGAUUUGAUAGUGAAAUACUGUUAAUGAAGGUGGAUUUGAUAGUAAUUUAAUUUAUUUAAUUUAACUGAUAUUGGCUCUGAGAUGUGUACACAUCGCCCGUCG